rnacentral:rRNA from 1 species
ACGCUCGACACCUACGGGGGGCAGCAGUGGGGAAUAUUGCACAAUGGGGGAAACCCUGAUGCAGCGACGCCGCGUGGAGGAAGAAGGUCUUCGGAUUGUAAACUCCUGUUGUUGGGGAAAAAGAGGAUGGUACCCAACAAGGAAGUGACGGCUAACUACGUGCCAGCAGCCGACGGUAAUCUGAGCGGGCUGGCAAGGC